rnacentral:tRNA from 1 species
GCCUCCGUGACCUAAUGGAUAAGGCAUCGGUCUCCUAAACCGGGGAUUGCCGGUUCGUGUCCCCUCGGAGAUA